rnacentral:lncRNA from 1 species
UUGGCUGGCUAUGCAGUGAAGCUCCAUAUGUCCCACAUUCAUUCUUCAGAAUAACUUGGGCAAGUUCUCAUGGUGAAAGUAGAGGUGCAAAGGAUUUCAUCUGAAUACCAAAUUACUUUUGGUCAUCAUGUCUUCUUAAGCUCCUCUUGGCUGUGACACUCUCAGACAAGAAUUUUGAUAAUCAUGUUUUUAUAACCUUGACAGUUUUCUAGAGUACAGUCAGGUAUUUCCCACAAUGAGAGUUGUAUGAUGCUUUCCUAUAAUUAGACUGGGAUGAUGGGGAUACAUGGAGGGAAGGCACAGAAGUAAGGCAUGGAGGUAAAUCAUCGUGGAAAAGCUAUUUUAUCACAGUAUGCCAAGUGUACAUAACAUUGUAGAUGUAAACCAUGAUUACCUGGAUGAGGUAGCAAUUGCAGAUUUUCUUACUGUAAAGUUAUUCUUUUUCCUCCCUUGUUAUAUAGCACCAUUUGGAAGCAAGUCACUACGCAUAAUUCACAAUUGAGUAAUAAAGAUUUAUGCUUCACCUCUUUGAAGGU